AUAGUGCAUUGAUUUUGUGAACCGUAGCUACUGUCAAAGUUUCUAAAGAAUUGCUUGUGUCAAAUUGAGAUAGCUCUUUGAAUUAUUGUUGGGUUUUUGCAGUUAUAUAUUUUUUUCAUUUUUUGUUAGCAGCUGAUUACCAUUAUCAAAUAGAAUGGGUCAUUAUCAAAUAGAAUUGAGUUAAUACACAUAUUCAGUAAUUCAAUUAUCUAGCUGCUUUGACCCUUUCCUCACUUGACCCUUUGUGUUUGUUUUUCAAUGCUUAGGUUGCCACCAUAAGCAGGAGAUAUUAGUGGACUUGACCACAGUGAUACUAAGAUCAUUCAAUAUUCUUUGAAUUAUUAGUUGUUCCGAAAUGAAAUGUUCGCUCAAUCUGGACUAAUUUGUUUAAGUUCGGUAUGGUGAGAUUCCAAAAGCUAUUUUUAGAUGUACUCCAGGGAUCAUCCUGCUGAAUAAAGCCAAGUGGUACAACCCUUAUUUUCUAGGCCCAAAAUAUACGAUAAUUAUUAUAUGCAUGAACUAAAGUCUGCAUGAACUACAAAUCUGCGAUGCGAAGCUGCUCGCAUUUGAGGUCUCUAGCAGACCGACUACACCUCUACAGAGCUUCAUGCAAUCAUGCUGGACGACGCUUACAACAACAAAGGGGUUGGGUAAUUCCAAAGGAUAGAGUUUCUUAGUAUCUUCAGAGAAGCAAGCUCUUUGGAUUAAGUUCCUCAGGAAGAAGGAUGUACCUGAUUACCUUUGUAUAUGCAGUUUAUGAGACACGAAUAAUGUUGUUACAUUCAUACAGAAAUGCCAUGCAACUUUUAUUCAAUUAUUCGAGAAAGAUUUAUGCGUAUCA